rnacentral:rRNA from 1 species
GACGAACGCUGGCGGCGUGCUUAACACAUGCAAGUCGAACGGAAAGGCCCUGCUUUUGUGGGGUGCUCGAGUGGCGAACGGGUGAGUAACACGUGAGUAACCUGCCCUUGACUUUGGGAUAACUUCAGGAAACUGGGGCUAAUACCGGAUAGGAGCUCCUGCUGCAUGGUGGGGGUUGGAAAGUUUCGGCGGUUGGGGAUGGACUCGCGGCUUAUCAGCUUGUUGGUGGGGUAGUGGCUUACCAAGGCUUUGACGGGUAGCCGGCCUGAGAGGGUGACCGGGGGGGGGGGGGGGGAGGGGGGGGGGGGAGGGGGAGGGGGGGGGGCAGUGGGGAAUAUUGCACAAUGGGCGGAAGCCUGAUGCAGCAACGCCGCGUGCGGGAUGACGGCCUUCGGGUUGUAAACCGCUUUCGCCUGUGACGAAGCGUGAGUGACGGUAAUGGGUAAAGAAGCACCGGCUAACUACGUG